CACGAGGCGCCGCACGCAUAUUUUCGCGAAUGAUGGCGAGUGCUGAACACACCGAGGCGCGAUCGAUAGGCAAGUGGCAAACAACUCGUUUUCGUUCGCGUCUCUUUUCUUUCUACUGACUGACUGCCUACUGCUGCUGCACGAGAUG
ensembl:ncRNA Y48B6A.23 ncRNA